UACGCUGGCGGCACGCCUAACACAUGCAAGUCGAACGAAGUAGCAAUACUUAGUGGCAGACGGGUGAGUAACAUGUAGGUAUCUGCCCUUUGGCCUGGAAUAACACGAGGAAACUUGUGCUAAUACCGGAUAAGUCUUUACGGAGAAAGCUUUAUGCACCAUUGGAUGAGCCUGCACUUGAUUAGUUUGUUGGUGGGGUAAUGGCCUACCAAGACUGUGAUCAAUAGCUGAUUUGAGAGGAUGAUCAGCCACAUUGGGACUGAGACACGGCCCAAACUCCUACGGGAGGCAGCAGUGGGGAAUCUUGCACAAUGGAGGAAACUCUGAUGCAGCGAUGCCGCGUGAGUGAAGAAGGCCUUUGGGUUGUAAAGCUCUUUCGUCGGGGAAGAAAAUGACUGUACCCGAAUAAGAAGGUCC
rnacentral:rRNA from 1 species